rnacentral:misc_RNA from 1 species
UUAAGUUCAGCGGGUAUCCCUACCUGAUCCGAGGUCAAACGUUGAAAAAAGGCUUACUGGACGCUCGGCGUAAAAUGGAGGCUGCAGUUGUGCUGCGUUCCCCAGAAUUAUUCCGGCUGCCAAUCACUUUAAGGCGAGUCCACGCGCGAAGGCGGGACAAACACCCAACACCAAGCAGAGCUUGAGGGUACAAAUGACGC